GUGUCAGCAGCCGCGGUAAUACCAGCUCUCCGAGUGGUGGGGAUGAUUAUUGGGCCUAAAGCAUCCGUAGCCGGCUGGACAAGUCCCCUGUUAAAUCCAACGAUCCAAUCGUUGGUCUGCGGGGGAUACUGUCCGGCUUGGGGGCGGGAGAGGCCGCCGGUAUUUCCGGGGUAGGGGUGAAAUCCUAUAAUCCCGGGAGGACCACCAGUGGCGAAGGCUGUCGGCUAGAACGCGCCCGACGGUGAGGGAUGAAAGCUGGGGGAGCGAACCGGAUUAGAUACCCGGGUAGUCCCAGCUGUAAACGAUGCAGGCUAGGUGUUUGGGCGGCCACGCGCCGCUCUAGUGCCGCAGGGAAGCUGUUAAGCCUGCCGCCUGGGGAGUACGGCCGCAAGGCUGAAACUCAAAUGAAUUGACGGGG
rnacentral:rRNA from 1 species